AACGAACGCUGGCGGCAGGCUUAACACAUGCAAGUCGAACGCCCCGCCAGGGGAGUGGCAGACGGGUGAGUAACGCGUGGGAACAUACCCUUUUCUACGGAAUAGCUCUGGGAAACUGGAAUUAAUACCGUAUACGCCCUACGGGGGAAAGAUUUAUCGGGGAAGGAUUGGCCCGCGUUGGAUUAGCGAGUUGGUGGGGUAAAGGCCUACCAAGGCGACGAUCCAUAGCUGGUCUGAGAGGAUGAUCAGCCACAUUGGGACUGAGACCCGGCCCAAACUCCUACGGGAGGCAGCAGUGGGGAAUAUUGGACAAUGGGCGCAAGCCUGAUCCAGCCAUGCCGCGUGAGUGAUGAAGGCCUUAGGGUUGUAAAGCUCUUUCACCGAUGAAGAUAAUGACGGUAGUCGGAGAAGAAGCCCCGGCUAACUUCGUG
rnacentral:rRNA from 1 species